rnacentral:rRNA from 1 species
UACGUAGGGCGCAAGCGUUAUCCGGAAUUAUUGGGCGUAAAGAGCUCGUAGGCGGUUUGUCGCGUCUGCCGUGAAAGUCCGGGGCUCAACUCCGGAUCUGCGGUGGGUACGGGCAGACUAGAGUGAUGUAGGGGAGACUGGAAUUCCUGGUGUAGCGGUGAAAUGCGCAGAUAUCAGGAGGAACACCGGUGGCGAAGGCGGGUCUCUGGGCAUUACCUGACGCUGAGGAGCGAAAGUGUGGGGAGCGAACAGG